ACAGGAACACUCUGAAGAUAGGCAGAACCUCACAUCAUUACUGAAAAUGUUGAAAGCAGAGGUCCCAUAGCACUCCCCUGAGGGAGGCCAGAGGUUGCCAAAUAGGAAUCCGAGAAUGUUCCAUUAAUAUUAACUCUAUAAAGUCGAUGGAUAUGAUUUUAUCCAAUUUAGUAGUGCCGAAUGUAUACCCAAGCGGGCCAGUUUUGCCAGUAGGGCACUGUGGCUAACUUUGUCAAAGGCUUUCGCAAAAUCGGUGUAAAUAGCAUCAACCUGAUAUCGCAUAUUAAAGGCAUGAAUGCAAUAGUUGCUGAAAACGGCAAGAUUAGUCGUAGUUGACCGACCUGCAACAAAAUCAUGCUGAGAAGUGCUUAUAUAUGUUUUUACAAGAAAUUAUCAUUUUUGGGCAACAUGCGUUCGAAGAGUUUAGCGACAUUACAGAUCUUUGCUAUAGGCCUGUAAUUGGCAAUGUUAUUCUUCGGCCCUGAUUUUAAAAUUGGAGUCACGGAUGCGACCUUCCAUCUAUCCGCAAAGUGUCCACUAGAUGGUGAUUUAUCAAACAGAAUUUUAAGUGGAACGCAUAGAACCUCUAUACAAUGUUUCAAAAAGUAGGCCGGAGUCCCAUCACAGUCCGGAAUGUACGAUUCAUCCACGUCUUCCACAGCUCUAUGAAUAUUCUCUUCUAGCACGGUUAAACUACCUAAAUUCAAUAGAGGAGUGAUUGCAUUUAAGGUUUGAGAAUCAUUCCAGGCUGCUGUUGGCUCAAAAUUAGCUUUAAAAUAAGAGGCAAAGAGAGUUUCUGUAUUUGAAUUGAAAGAUAAAUUCCCUAUGAACAUAGCAGAUGGAACUGAAGAAGCACUUUUCUUUGAAUUGAUGAAUCGCCAAAAAGAGUUGGGAUUACUUUUUAGGCCGUUCUCAACACUCGCUAUAUACUGAUUGUAAAGAAAUUUAUUUAGAAAUUCAAAUUCUCGUUUGUGCUGCAAGUGUCUAUUCCAAUCACCAGGAUCCUGUGUAACUAAAAACCUUUUAUAGAAUUUAUUUCGAAGAUUUUUAAGCUUUUUCAAACCUUUCGUAUACCAUGGCAACUUAAACAAAUUGUGGCCUCUUUCUCUAGCAUCGUUCUUAAUGAUGUUUAAAAUAACAACUAAAAAUGUCUCCAAACUGACAUGUGAUAAAACUGACUCCCAGUUAAUGAGAUCUCAUUUCUGAUAGCACAAAGGCUGGUUUCAUUGAAAAUAAAUCUAGGUGAAUAUUCAGCUGAAGGCGCAAAACUGUAAAAGUUUAUACCUAGUAGCAAUGGUCUAUUAUGGAUAUCACAAUUGCUUAUGGGUGAACUAUAUUGGACUAAAGAAAAGUUAAUAUCAGCGCUAAGGAAUACUAAGUUUAAAAUUUAAUGUAAGUUAUUGAAUAUAUUAUUGACUUGUAUUAAGCCCAUACUGAAAAUAUCAUCGAUUCUCCAAUUAUCGACACCGCAACUUGAUCAAGAAGGGUAUCUUCAAUGAGAAGUCCAAUUGACAAGCAGCGCAAAUUGCAUCGAACAUCAACAAUUAGACCACCUCCUCUAGCACAGUGGGUUUUCGUGCUAUCUCUGUCUUUGCGGAACACAUGGUACAAAUUGGAGUCGAAGAAUUCAUUUGAGUAAAAGUUUAUGUUGAGCCAAGUUUCAACUAAAACUAUAACAUCGAACUCGCAUUGGGAUGUCGCAAGGUAUACUUGCUCCGCCUUUGUCCGCAUUCCGGAGAUGUUUUGAAAAUAAAUUUUUAGUGGGGCCGUACUCACAAUAGCACGAUCAACAAUUUCCGGAUUCGCAUUUAAGGCAUCAUAGUCCAAUGCCCAAGGAAGUAUUUGUUCAUGCGUUCCCAAUGUUGUAGGCCCGCAGAUCGCCUUCAGAAAUGUAGUGUUUUUAAUACGAAUUUUAAUUAAUACGAAUUUAUUAUACGAACUAAUUAUUAAUAAAUUAAAUUAUUAAUUAAAUUAUUAUUGUUUCCUUACUUAGCUGAUUAAAUGGAACGUGUAUCAUUUCCUAGCCAUUAUACGGAUAUAUUUAUUAUAUCUUAUGGUAUUGGGUUUUGAUGCAAGCUUCUUGAUCAAAGUAUCACGAGUUUGUUAUAUACUCGCAAACAAAUUCUUUAAUAAAACGGUGCAUUUAUGUAUUUUUGAUUUGAAAAUUUGGUAUAACUCCAAUUACUCAGGUAUGAUCCAAUUCAAGGACAUUGCCAGGUAGAGAGUUUGACUGGGGCGGUACAUCUCUCAAAUAAUAACGGAGGUGUCCCAAGGCCAGCUCAGUGCGGACAGAAACCACACAUAGAGCAAAAGGGCAAAUGCUGACUUGAUCUCGGUGUUCAGUACACACAGGGACAGCAAAAGCUCGGCCUAUCGAUCCUUUUGGUUUAAAGAGUUUUUAACAAGAGGCGUCAGAAAAGUUACCAUAGGGAUAACUGGCUUGUGGCGGCCAAGCGUUCAUAGCGACGUCGCUUUUUGAUCCUUCGAUGUCGGCUCUUCCUAUCAUUGUGAAGCAAAAUUCACCAAGCGUUGGAUUGUUCACCCAUGCAAGGGAACGUGAGCUGGGCUUAGACCGUCGUGAGACAGGUUAGUUUUACCCUACUAAUGACAAAACGUUGUUGCGACCGGAUUCCUGCGUAGUACGAGAGGAACCGCAGGUACGGACCAAUGGCACAAUACUUGUUCGAGCGAACAGUGGUAUGACGCUACGUCCGUUGGAUUAUGCCUGAACGCCUCUAAGGUCGUAUCCGUGCUGGACUGCAAUGAUAAAUAAGGGGCAAUUUGCAUUGUAUGGCUUCUAAACCAUUUAAAGUUUAUAAUUUACUUUUUAAACGACAAUGGAUGUGAUGCCAAUGUAAUUUGUAACAUAGUAAAUUGGGAGGAUCUUUGAUCACCUGAUGCCGCGCUAGUUACAUAUAAAAGCAUUAUUU
rnacentral:rRNA from 1 species